AUUGAACGCUGGCGGCAGGCUUAACACAUGCAAGUCGAGCGGAGAUGAGGUGCUUGCACCUUAUCUUAGCGGCGGACGGGUGAGUAAUGCUUAGGAAUCUGCCUAUUAGUGGGGGACAACAUUCCGAAAGGAAUGCUAAUACCGCAUACGUCCUACGGGAGAAAGCAGGGGAUCUUCGGACCUUGCGCUAAUAGAUGAGCCUAAGUCGGAUUAGCUAGUUGGUGGGGUAAAGGCCUACCAAGGCGACGAUCUGUAGCGGGUCUGAGAGGAUGAUCCGCCACACUAGGGCUGAGACACGGCCCAGACUCCUACGGGAGGCAGCAGUGGGGAAUAUUGGAAAAUGGGGGGAACCCUGAUCCAGCCAUGCCGCGUGUGUGAAGAAGGCCUUAUGGUUGUAAAGCACUUUAAGCGAGGAGGAGGCUACUGAGACUAAUACUCUUGGAUAGUGGACGUUACUCGCAGAAUAAGCACCGGCUAACUCUGUGCCAGCCGCCGCCGUAA
rnacentral:rRNA from 1 species